rnacentral:rRNA from 1 species
UUUGUUAUAAAACAAUAAAAAAACGUAAAAACAUUAUUAUAUGAAAUGCCACACAAAACUAUAAGAAUAAUAGUCUGAACUAAAGGACUAAUAUACCUAUGCUAGGAUGAGUAUUAUAAAUUACCUAGAUUGAAUAAGUAAUAUUUCCAAGAUAAAUAUUUUUCAUGCAAAUUAAAAAGAAGGAAUUCGGCAAAAUGUUGUUUCGCCUGUUUAUCAAAAACAUGGCUCUUUGAGAAUAAACGUAUAAGGAGUCGAACCUGCCCGGUGAAUAAUUUUAACGGCCGCGGUACCCUGACCGUGCAAAGGUAGCAUAAUCAUUUGCCUUAUAAUUGAAGGCUGGCAUGAAUGGUCUGACGAGAGCAACACUGUCUCCUCUUUAUUAUCUAAAAAUUAACUUAUAGGUGAAGAGGCCUAUAUAAAAUUGAAGGACAAGAAGACCCUGUCGAGCUUAAAAGAAAAGUAGAGGUUAGUUAUCAAAAGAAAUCAAUAAACUAUACAUAGCUUUUUAGUUGGGGCGACUAAGGAACAAAUAAAGCUUCUUUUAUUUCUAUAAAUUUAUAAAUUUGGAUCCAGCAAAGCUGAUUGGAAAAAUUAGUUACCGCAGGGAUAACAGCAUAAUCUCUCUUGAGAGACCUAAUCGAAAGGGGGGGUUGUGACCUCGAUGUUGGACUAGAAUAUCCUGAAGAUGCAGACGUCUUCAAAGGUUGGUCUGUUCGACCAUUAAAAUUCU